rnacentral:lncRNA from 1 species
AAAAAACAUAGAAAUGUAAUGCUUGAUAGAUCACUUAGAAUAUUUGAUAUUACUUAAUAAAAAAUCAGUUUUUUAUGAAACUGUGUAAUCAGUAUACAUAAUAAAUGAAAAUCAUGUACAAUAGUAAAAUAUGGAGACAGACCAUUGCUACAACCAAGCAAGCCAUGUCAUCAGAACUUUGGAGAUGUAUUACAAUAAUAAGAGGAG